rnacentral:rRNA from 1 species
UAGGGAAUCUUCCACAAUGGGCGAAAGCUUGAUGGAGCAACGCCGCGUGUGUGAUGAAGGGUUUCGGCUCGUAAAACACUGUUGUAAGAGAAGAAUGACAUUGAGAGUAACUGUUCAAUGUGUGACGGUAUCUUACCAGAAAGGAACGGCUAAAUACGUGCCGGG